rnacentral:lncRNA from 1 species
AUCAUCUUCAGAUAGCGAAUCAUCGGAUGAAGAUUAGAAGAUAUGUUCACAGAUCAAAUACAGGCUCUUCAUCACUAAAAACAUAAGCACGACAGCUACAAUGCACACUACAUCAACUCUCAAACAAAACCAAUGUUCUGCAUGCUUAACAGAUAUAAAAACAGAUAUAAGCACAGGCACUUGAUAGUGAUUUUUUCUGAAAAUCAACAUCAAGUGCCUGUGUUUCUUUUAUAUCUGUUAAGCACGCCGCAUCAACAUCUACAGCCUUUACGCACUGAUAGUCUUCGGACUAUUUUGGCUUCCAUUGGACAUCAUAAAACACAAGACACAGCAGGUCUAGCUCAAUGUCCGACGGUCUACAGCAUCAGAUCCUAAAGCCCAUCUGAUGUUGACAUUGUAACUGCUAUCUGUUCCACUCCAUUCUUCCGUCUCUUCUACCAUAUAGUUCUUAGUUUGAAACGUUUAAUUCUAUAUUAAAUCUUGCGUAGUAUAUAAGUAUAGUUAAAGGAAGAGCGCCACUCUUCCCUGCGCUGCAGCGUCUGCUUGUAAAGGGUAUAGCCACGCGCGCAAAUAGCGUGCCCACUGUUUGUAACUUGGGGUUCUUCCUUAGUUUUUGUUAGUUAUUUCUAUCAAGAUAGCCCUUCUUCACUGUUUGCUAGGCUUGCCUAGUAAUCUGUUUACUCUUGCUUUCCUUUGGGGACGAUCCUAUUCAUGGCGGGAACAAAGUAGCAGUACCGCUAGGGAUGUAUGAUGCUAUCGCUAUCUAUCGUAGCCCUACGCUUGGCUGGAGAGAAAUCUCCUUUUUAGGGGGACUAUCUCUAGCACCACCUUGUCUUCCGCAGGCCGUAAGUGCUGUAGCUUCCUUCGGUGGCACAUGUACGUGAUCGUUUGUCCUGUGCGUCAUUCGGGGGUUGUGCAUGUACGAACGGAUUUGCGAUCCUAUCAAGUUCCUUUAGAACUUGCCUAUGCCUUGUCUUUUCUCUUCCAUCCAAGUUCUCAUCCGUUCCCCUCAGUGUGGACAGUUGUUGACCUCUUAACUGAGGAUUGUUUUAGUCGGCUCCGCCUAACGAGUUGUUAUACGUCUUUUUUCUAAUCGGGAUUGUCUUUCCUUCUCGGUUAGUUCUUCUGGUCUGGCUUCUGCCAAAAUUCCCUGUCCUUUCGCCUCUCCCUAUGAUUAAAGUAAUGCCACAGAGAGAACAGCCUUGGCUGUUAACUCAAAAAAUUUAUGAGGGAGCUUUUUUUCUGAGUUCAUCUCUUUUCCGCCUCCAGCCUUAGCUCGUGAGGCAGAUGGCUUGCCAGUGUUGCUUCUCUCCAAAUCAGAGGAGUUGUCUGCAUGGGGUGCUGAGUGCUAGAUUUAACUAAGUUUUCUAUUUUUAUUUGGUCCUAGAUUUAAAUAGUAUAUAAGUUACCUAUUUUUAGGGAUCUUUAGUAUUCAGGUCAGAUAGUAUUUGCAUAAUUAUAUUUAGUGUUAAUUACUUUAGUUAAUUCGUUAUUAUUGUAAUUCUAAUUCACUAAAUAUUCAUGUUAAUACACAAAUAAAUGGCAAAUAUAAUGAUAUAAAAGAAAUAAAAAUACAGUGGUACCUCGACUUACGAGUUUAAUUCGUUCCGUGAUGAGAUCGUAA